rnacentral:rRNA from 1 species
UACGUAGGGGGCAAGCGUUGUCCGGAAUCAUUGGGCGUAAAGCGCGUGUAGGCGGUCCGGUAAGUCCGCUGUGAAAGUCGGGGGCUCAACCCUCGGAUGCCGGUGGAUACUGUCGGGCUUGAGUACGGAAGAGGCGAGUGGAAUUCCAGGUGUAGCGGUGAAAUGCGUAGAUAUCUGGAGGAACACCGGUGGCGAAGGCGGCAUCCUGGACCAACACUGACACUGAUGAGCGAAAGCCAGGGGAGCAAACGGG